rfam:Schistosoma mansoni strain Puerto Rico chromosome 3, complete genome
ACCCAGCUGACGAGUCCCAAAUAGGACGAAACACGCGUCCUGCAU